ACUACCAACUUAUGAGAGAGAAAAAAGCAACAGAACAUCGCUCUGUAAAAUAUUUACAGUUGUAACAAAUAACGCGAUCUCAGUCGAGUAGGAUUCGAUUUGACGACCUAACCAACCCCUGUAGGAGAGGAUGGAACUGAUUGUUUGGCAACAACCCUCUUCCUCACGCAGGAUGAACACAAGGAUUUGCCACCACUGUGGGCACAUUUGCAAUUAGUUAUUCCAUCCUGGAUUUGCUGAUGUGCUGCAUAUGUCAUCACUGUAUACGUAUCACUCUGCGUCAGGGUCUUCCGGACAAGAGAUGCUUGGUUGCGAUGGUGAAGAGCUACAUAUGCAGAUGUGUCACUGAGCCAUGCAACAAACACAGAACCUGCAAAUACAAAUUUAAGUCCAUCUGCAUUAACCAAAAACAAAUUUCAGUCUGUAGAACAGAGCCUCAAGACUGUUAUAAAGAUGUGUAUAUUGUCUUAGUUAGUUCCCUCAUCUUUCAAAAGCAUCACAUCAUUAUUCACAGGCAUGUAAUUUCCAAUAAAAUGUAACAUUUAAUAUUUUUUUAUCAUAAUACAUAAAUGUAAUGGUUUUA